AUUGCCUCAGUAACGGCGAGUGAAGCGGCAACAGCUCAAAUUUGAAAUCUGCCGCAAGGCCGAGUUGUAAUUUGUAGAGGAUGCUUCUGGGCAGCGGCCGGUCUAAGUUCCUUGGAACAGGACGUCAUAGAGGGUGAGAAUCCCGUAUGCGACCGGUUGGCACCCGUCACGUAGCUCCUUCGACGAGUCGAGUUGUUUGGGAAUGCAGCUCUAAAUGGGUGGUAAAUUCCAUCUAAAGCUAAAUACCGGCCAGAGACCGAUAGCGCACAAGUAGAGUGAUCGAAAGAUGAAAAGCACUUUGGAAAGAGAGUUAAAAAGCACGUGAAAUUGUUGAAAGGGAAGCGCAUGCAACCAGACUUGUCGGCGGUGUUCCGCCGGUCUUCUGACCGGUCUACUCGCCGCCGACAGGCCAGCAUCGUGUGGGUGUGCCGGAUAAAGGCGUCGGGAAUGUGGCCCCUCGGGGUGUUAUAGCCCGGCGCAUAAUACGGUGCCGCCCGCGCGAGGUCCGCGCUCCGGCUAGGAUGCUGGCGUAAUGGUCGUAUGCGGCCCGUCUUGAAACACGGACCAAGGAGUCUAACAUCUGUGCGAGUGUUCGGGUGUCAAACCCCUACGCGGAAUGAAAGUGGACGGAGGUGGGAGCUUCGGCGCACCAUCGACCGAUCCUGAUGUCCUCGGAUGGAUUUGAGUAAGAGCAUAGCUGUUGGGACCCGAAAGAUGGUGAACUAUGCCUGAAUAGGGUGAAGCCAGAGGAAACUCUGGUGGAGGCUCGCAGCGGUUCUGACGUGCAAAUCGAUCGUCAAAUUUGGGUAUAGGGGCGAAAGACUAAUCGAACCAUCUAGUAGCUGGUUCCUGCCGAAGUUUCCCUCAGGAUAGCAGUAGCGUUUUCAGUUUUAUGA
rnacentral:rRNA from 1 species